rnacentral:lncRNA from 1 species
AUGAAAUUUCAUUAAAAGAAAAGUACAUUACAGCCUAUUCUAAUUAUCUACACGGGAUGGAGGGAAAACUGUCCUUAAAGGACUUACACGCCUAGGGGCAUUAUCAUCUAUCCUAGCAUCUACACUGUCUACACCAACAUUAUUUACACUGCUGCCAUGGGAGGCCCAGCACCCUCCUACUCAGACCCUCCAGUGCCUACGAAAGGCACGAUCUCCUGUCCCUGAGGACCAGCAUCUUCAUCUUCUAGCUCGGGUUCUGC